rnacentral:rRNA from 1 species
UAUGGCGACCGGCGCACGGGUGAGUAACACGUAUCCAACCUGCCGAUGACUCGGGGAUAGCCUUUCGAAAGAAAGAUUAAUACCCGAUGACAUAGUUCUUCCGCAUGGUAGAACUAUUAAAGAAUUUCGGUCAUCGAUGGGGAUGCGUUCCAUUAGCUUGUUGGCGGGGUAACGGCCCACCAAGGCAUCGAUGGAUAGGGGUUCUGAGAGGAAGGUCCCCCACAUUGGAACUGAGACACGGUCCAAACUCCUACGGGAGGCAGCAG